rnacentral:piRNA from 1 species
GACAUGCCCGCAGGGCCUCAUGUGUGCA